rnacentral:rRNA from 1 species
UACGUAGGGUGCGAGCGUUGUCCGGAAUUAUUGGGCGUAAAGAGCUCGUAGGCGGUCUGUCGCGUCGGGUGUGAAAGCCCCGGGCUCAACCUGGGAAUUGCAUUCGAGACUGAAUAGCUAGGGUACGGUAGAGGGAAGCGGAAUUUCCGGUGUAGCGGUGAAAUGCGUAGAUAUCGGAAGGAACAUCAGUGGCGAAAGCGGCUUCCUGGACCAGUACCGACGUUCAGGCACGAAAGCGUGGGGAGCAAACAGG